UGCCGGGUCGUCUAGUGGUAGGACGGCGGGUUCUGGCCCCGUUAACCUAGGUUCGAGUCCUAGCCCGGCAAC
rnacentral:tRNA from 1 species